GUACCUUGUAAACUCAAUUUCCAGAUGAGCAAAAAUGGAAAAGGCCUUUCAAAAUGUUGUUGCUAAUUGAGAAGUCUGCCUUCCUUCCCCUGCCCUGCAAAACGGUGGUGGUGGAGUAGUGCUGAAAUGCAAAUGCAGGCAAAUCAGAUGCUGGCAUGGAUGGCAGUGACAACAAGCAGAGCUUCUACACAGAGAGAGCUGCAGAACAUUCCCCAGAACAGGAGCCUAUCUGCCUGGACCUGAAAGGAACAAACCAC